GACGAACGCUGGCGGCGUGCUUAACACAUGCAAGUCGAACGGAAAGGCCCUGCUUUCAGGGUACUCGAGUGGCGAACGGGUGAGUAACACGUGGGUGAUCUGCCCUGCACUUCGGGAUAAGCCUGGUAAACUGGGUCUAAUACCUGAUAGGAGCCAUUUUUAUUGUGAUGGUUGGAAAGUUUUUUCGGUGUAGGAUGAGCUCGCUGCCUAUCUGCUUGUUGGUGGGGUAAUGGCCUACCAAGGCGGCGACGGGUAGCCGGCCUGAGAGGGUGGACGGCCACAUUGGGACUGAGAUAAGGCCCAGACUCCUAAGGGAGGCAGCAGUGGGGAAUAUUGCACAAUGGGCGCAAGCCUGAUGCAGAGACGCCGCGGGGGGGAAGACGGGCUUCGGGUUGUAAACUCCUUUCGCUAGGGACGAAGCUUUUUGUGACGGUACCUAGAUAAGAAGCACCGGCUAACUACGUG
rnacentral:rRNA from 1 species